rnacentral:rRNA from 1 species
UAGGGAAUCUUCCACAAUGGACGCAAGUCUGAUGGAGCAACGCGCGUGAGUGAAGAAGGUUUUCGGACCGUAAAGCUCUGUUGUUGGUGAAGAAGGAUAGAGGUAGUAACUGGCCUUUAUUUGACGGUAAUCAACCAGAAAGUCACGGCUAACUACGUGCCAGCAGCCGCGGUAAUACGUAGGUGGCAAGCGUUGUCCGGAUUUAUUGGGCGUAAAAGCGAGCGCAGGCGGAAGAAUAAGUCUGAUGUGAAAGCCCUCGGCUUAACCGAGGAAUUGCAUCGGAAACUGUUUUUCUUGAGUGCAGA